CGGUGUUUGCUCGGUGGACGCCCUCCAUCUCUUUUCACGGUGGUUAGGUGAUAAAGGUAAUAUAUUUUUGAUUCAAUGGAUUAUGAAGUGAAAUAUUGUUGUUGUGUGAUUUUGAUGUUGUUGUAGAGCCUAUUUUGAUUCAAUUUUAGUUUGAGUUUCGUGUUGAAGGAAGUUUGAAGCUUUUCUUCCUUGAAUGUUGAACUGUUGGUAUUGUU
rnacentral:lncRNA from 1 species